CCUACGGGCGGCAGCAGUGAGGAAUAUUGGUCAAUGGGCGCGAGCCUGAACCAGCCAAGUCGCGUGAGGGAAGACGGUCCUAUGGAUUGUAAACCUCUUUUGUCGGGGAGCAAAAGACGCCACGCGUGGCGUUCCGAGAGUACCCGAAGAAAAAGCAUCGGCUAACUCCGUGCCAGCAGCCGCGGUAAUACGGAGGAUGCGAGCGUUAUCCGGAUUUAUUGGGUUUAAAGGGUGCGCAGGGGGAAGAUCAAGUCAGCGGUAAAAUUGAGAGGCACAACCUCUUCGAGCCGUUGAAACUGGUUGUCUUGAGUGAGCGAGAGGUAUGCGGAAUGCGUGGUGUAGCGGUGAAAUGCAUAGAUAUCACGCAGAACUCCGAUUGCGAAGGCAGCAUACCGGCGCUCAACUGACGCUGAUGCACGAAAGUGUGGGUAUCGAACAGGAUUAGAUACCCUAGUAGUC
rnacentral:rRNA from 1 species